ACAAGCCUGUGAUGAUAUGAAGUUAUCCCUGUCUGAAUGUCUCUGUGGACUCUUGGUAUUCUGAGGCUUGU